rnacentral:rRNA from 1 species
CCUACGGGAGGCAGCAGUGAGGAAUAUUGGUCAAUGGUCGGGAGACUGAACCAGCCAAGCCGCGUGAGGGAGGAAGGUACAGAGUAUCGUAAACCUCUUUUGUCAGGGAACAAAGGCGGGGACGUGUCCCCGGAUGAGUGUACCUGAAGAAAAAGCAUCGGCUAACUCCGUGCCAGCAGCCGCGGUAAUACGGAGGAUGCGAGCGUUAUCCGGAUUUAUUGGGUUUAAAGGGUGCGCAGGCGGUCUGUUAAGUCAGCGGUAAAACCCCGGGGCCAAACCCCGUCCCGCCGUUGAAACUGGCAGUCUCGAGUUGGAGAGAAGUAUGCGGAAUGCGCGGUGUAGCGGUGAAAUGCAUAGAUAUCGCGCAGAACUCCGAUUGCGAAGGCAGCAUGCCGGCUCCACACUGACGCUGAGGCACGAAAGCGUGGGUAUCGAACAGGAUUAGAUACCCUAGUAGUC